GAAGGUGGCCUGUGAGGGUUGCUGGAGGUAUCAGAAGUGCGAAUGCUGACAUAAGUAACGAUAAAGCGGGUGAAAAGCCCGCUCGCCGGAAGACCAAGGGUUCCUGUCCAACGUUAAUCGGGGCAGGGUGAGUCGACCCCUAAGGCGAGGCCGAAAGGCGUAGUCGAUGGGAAACGGGUUAAUAUUCCCGUACUUGGUGUUACUGCGAAGGGGGGACGGAGAAGGCUAUGUUGGCCGGGCGACGGUUGUCCCGGUUUAAGCGUGUAGGCUGGUUUUCCAGGCAAAUCCGGAAAAUCAAGGCUGAGGCGUGAUGACGAGGCACUACGGUGCUGAAGCAACAAAUGCCCUGCUUCCAGGAAAAGCCUCUAAGCAUCAGGUAACAUCAAAUCGUACCCCAAACCGACACAGGUGGUCAGGUAGAGAAUACCAAGGCGCUUGAGAGAACUCGGGUGAAGGAACUAGGCAAAAUGGUGCCGUAACUUCGGGAGAAGGCACGCUGACACGUAGGUGAAGUGAUUUACUCAUGGAGCUGAAGUCAGUCGAAGAUACCAGCUGGCUGCAACUGUUUAUUAAAAACACAGCACUGUGCAAACACGAAAGUGGACGUAUACGGUGUGACGCCUGCCCGGUGCCGGAAGGUUAAUUGAUGGGGUCAGCGCAAGCGAAGCUCCUGAUCGAAGCCCCGGUAAACGGCGGCCGUAACUAUAACGGUCCUAAGGUAGCGAAAUUCCUUGUCGGGUAAGUUCCGACCUGCACGAAUGGCGUAAUGAUGGCCAGGCUGUCUCCACCCGAGACUCAGUGAAAUUGAACUCGCUGUGAAGAUGCAGUGUACCCGCGGCAAGACGGAAAGACCCCGUGAACCUUUACUAUAGCUUGACACUGAACAUUGAGCCUUGAUGUGUAGGAUAGGUGGGAGGCUUUGAAGUGUGGACGCCAGUCUGCAUGGAGCCGACCUUGAAAUACCACCCUUUAAUGUUUGAUGUUCUAACGUGGACCCGUUACCCGGGUUGCGGACAGUGUCUGGUGGGUAGUUUGACUGGGGCGGUCUCCUCCUAAAGAGUAACGGAGGAGCACGAAGGUUGGCUAAUCCUGGUCGGACAUCAGGAGGUUAGUGCAAUGGCAUAAGCCAGCUUGACUGCGAGCGUGACGGCGCGAGCAGGUGCGAAAGCAGGUCAUAGUGAUCCGGUGGUUCUGAAUGGAAGGGCCAUCGCUCAACGGAUAAAAGGUACUCCGGGGAUAACAGGCUGAUACCGCCCAAGAGUUCAUAUCGACGGCGGUGUUUGGCACCUCGAUGUCGGCUCAUCACAUCCUGGGGCUGAAGUAGGUCCCAAGGGUAUGGCUGUUCGCCAUUUAAAGUGGUACGCGAGCUGGGUUUAGAACGUCGUGAGACAGUUCGGUCCCUAUCUGCCGUGGGCGCUGGAGAACUGAGGGGGGCUGCUCCUAGUACGAGAGGACCGGAGUGGACGCAUCACUGGUGUUCGGGUUGUCAUGCCAAUGGCACUGCCCGGUAGCUAAAUGCGGAAGAGAUAAGUGCUGAAAGCAUCUAAGCACGAAACUUGCCCCGAGAUGAGUUCUCCCUGAGACUUAGAGUCUCCUGAAGGAACGUUGAAGACGACGACGUUGAUAGGCCGGGUGUGUAAGCGCAGCGAUGCGUUGAGCUAACCGGUACUAAUGAACCGUGAGGCUUAACCUUACAACGCCGAAG
rnacentral:rRNA from 1 species